GCAGAUUUCCCAUAGCCAAGUGCUGUUGUCUAACCAACAAAUGCGUUCCUGCAAAUGCAUUUGUACCACUUGAAGAGCCUGAGACCUUUCUAGAAAUGUUCUUUCAGGGACCAUACUUUUUGUUUUCAGUCUAGCAGGCAAAAUACAACAGAAACCCAUGGCAGGGUGUUGAGACUGGCUAGUCAGAGAUAAAGACCCUUGGUUUUGACAGUAAGGCUAUUCAGGCAUUGGAACAGCUUUCCAAACAGUGUCGCUACAUAAUUCAGAAAUGCUGAAGUUGCAAUCAGGUAAGUUUACAAAAGAUGACUUCUAGUUCAAACAGCCAAGGCUGUAGGGAAGUCCUGUGACCCAUGGUAAUAAAGGGAAUCAGCACAGACGAUGCUAGCAAAGCAGCAUCAGUUUAGAAGCAACAUGCUGGUGUUGCUGCAUGUAUCUCAGACCUACCCAGAAGAUCAUUCUGUGGCAGCCAUUUGACAAGCUUUACGUUCUUUGGCAGGUUGGGGGGUGUCUGUCCUGUGUAUCGCCACAAAACCUUCCAAGAGAAGCAAACACAAAGUCAGUUCUCAGCAAGUGGCCUCUUGCUACUCCUCAGUGGGUUUGACAAGCACAGGGGAAGAGAGGAACCAUACCGUUUGAGGGACUGUUCCCAAGGCAUCUGCAAUUUCCAUAGCUUUCUUCAUUGGAAUCUCAGAGACCAUGGAGCCCAGCGAGAAGACAACAAUGCCGUGUUCUCCAGAGGCAUUCACGAUAGCUUCAAAUUCCUGUCAACACAAAGCAUAUCCUUAGUCAAGGUCCUUUCCACGCUGCACGCUGCCAUUGCUGUCUCCUUCCCACAAAACCACCUGGAAAGGCAAUAAAAAGAAUCAUCAACUCAACAAAAUUAUGAUGAGAAAGAUCUGUCCUGUAUCUGAAAAUGAGUCCUAGGGUGAAAAUAUGGGCACAGGUGGAUGAACAAAGUCUUGGAGAGGUGUGAGUGCUUGCAGUAUUGAAGCCUGAACUGAGAUUCAGUAUGAAAAUGAGAAAGAAUUUACUUAAAAACAGUCCCACAGCAAAGCCCACUCGCUCAGAGACAGCAGUUUCUGUGCCAUAAAAAAGAUGCUGUACCAAUUAAGGAGAUCCAUUCAUCAUCAUAGUUUCCCCAGGUGACUAUGUUGUGGUUUAUUUUCACAUUUACUGCAAACCAGAUACUCUGGGUUUAGAGCUGAUGCUCCUCUUUUCAAAGCAUGCAGCUGUGAGAGAGAAUAAAGCUUUCCAAAAGCAUUCUGACAGCAGA